AUCUGCAUGGCCCUGUGACCUCAACAUGGCCCUAGAACAUCUGCAUGGCCCUGGAAUGGAGGCACUGCCCUAGAACACCUGCAUGGCCCUAGAACACCUGCAUGGCCCUGUGACAUCAACAUGGCCCUAGAACAUCUGCAUGGCCAUGGAACAUCUGCAUGGCCCUAGAACAUCUGCAUGGCCCUAGAACAUCUGCAUGGCCCUGGAAUGGAGGCAUUGCCCUAGAACACCGGCAUGGCCCUAGAACACCUGCAUGGCCCUGGAACAGAGGCAUGGCCCGAGAACAUCUGUAUGGCCAUGGAAGGGAGGCAUGGUUCUAGAACAUCUGCAUGGCCCUAGAACAUCUGCAUGGCCCUGGAAUGGAGGCACGGCUCUAGAACAUCAGCAUGGCCCUGGGACAUCAGCAUGGCGCUAGAACAUCUACUUGGCCCUGGAAUGGAGGCAUGGUGGCUCUGGAAUGAAGGCAUGGCUCUUGAACAUCUGCAUGGCCCUGAGACAUCAGCAUGGCCCUAGAACAUCUGCAUGGCCCUGGAAUGGAGGCAUGGUGGCCCUGGAAUGGAGGCAUGGUGGCCCUGCAAUGGAGGCAUGGCCCUAGAACAUCUGCAUACCCCUGGGACAUCAGCAUGUCCCUAGAACAUCUGCAUGGCCCUAGAAUGGAGGUAUGCCCUGAAAUAUGGAGCCAUGAGAGAAGACUUAAUAAGAAGCAGCAGGGGAGUCAGAGGCUUGGAUAGGAGGCCAGAGCUGCGAGCACAGUGGGAGAAGCUCCCCAGUCCAACAAACUAGAGGACGGUCAGUGGCACGAAGAAGAGUGAACAGGUGGAGGUGGAGGGGGAAUAAAGGGAGGUCAACGAGGCAGGGUCAAGCCUGGAGCAGCCAGACAUCCUGCAGGCCGAGCUGUGCCCGGGGGCCUUGUCUGUGUAAAGCUGCCACGGGGCUUCCCAUACAAGUGAAACCCAAGGAUCAUUCAGGACGUUCAAAGGUCCACCCAGAGCAGGAACGGGGCCAGAUGGGAGCUGAGCCCUCCAUGCACCCGAGGCCGUGAUCAUCUGAGCUGCAUCUGGAGCAGGCCAGGGCCAGGAUCCUUACAAGGGGAGGUGGGGCACCAAGGGAGGGAGAGGCCAGAUGAGUUGGAGGCUCUGACAAUUAUGGAAGUGAAGGAGUUAACACGGAAGCAAAAAUGAGCCACGAGGCCAUGGAAACACACAGCACCAACUCCCCCCUCGAAUUCCACUCAGAAUCAAACACAUGCUUGACUUAAAUUACAUAUGUUGCUGGGUUGAGAAGCAGGAGAAAAUAAAUUCAUUUAUGACUAGCACUAAAAAGGAAAACCUUCUAGUCACUGCUUCAUGCUUACGGUUUUCAUGUAGCGCAGAAAAACCCAAAUAGCAUCUGAUGCAAUUUACAUAACUUUACAUAAUCUCAUGGUUACCAUUCGGCAAAGAACUUCCAGACCACAUCUCUUCCACUUAUUUGCCGCCAAAAAAGACAAAUUGGAAAAUAUUCUGGACAGCAGCUUUCUACCCUACUCUUAAAAAUCACCAAGAAACCAACUCUACAACUUUUCUCAGUGAUAUUCAGUCUGACCAUUUUAAUCUAAAGUCUUAAUGAUAUAAUCUAAUCAAUAAACAAAUAUUUACAGACCUCCUGCUAUUUUCAAAGCAUCGAUUUCAGAACUGGCCAGAAUCCUCUUAGCUUAAAAUCUACUUCAAACUGCCUGAUCUGGGAACAAACACACUUUCUUCAACUAUGAAAUAAGAAUAAUACCAGCCACUUCAAAAGGAUGUUCUGAGGAUUGACAGGAUUAAACGUCGUUACCUGGUACCACAGGAGGUGCACACAAAAGUAUCUUCUAAUUGGAGAGCUAUGACACAAACAGAAUGAAAUUCGUGAUUCAUUCAUUCACUGUUCAAGAUGACCAAAGAGAGUGUGUGGGGCCAGGCACACUGGCUCACGCCUGUAACCCCAGCACUCUGGGAGGCCAAGGUGGAAAGAUCAUUUGAGCUCAGGAAUUCGAGACUAGCCUGGGCAACACAGGAAGACCCCCAUCUCUACGAAAAUACAAAAUUAGCUAGGCAUGGUGGUGCGUGCCUGUAGUUCCAGCUACUCAUGAGGCUGAGGUAGAAGGAUAGCUUGACCCCGGGAGGCAGAGGUUGCAGUGAGCCAAAAUUACGCCACUACAUUCCAGACUGGAAGACAGAAUGAGACCCUGUCUCAAAAAAAUAAAAAUAAAAAAGAGAGUGUGUGGCAUAUUGUGAGUAGUGAAAAACAAAUACAAACACCAAACACGGAUUUCUGGGGGGAAAAAAAAACUAUUCAUUUUUUACUCAUAAACAAAGAGUUAUUUGCCAUUACCUAUAUGAAGGGUUUUGAUUCACAGCAGGACUCUUUUAUGAUGUGAUGUGUAAAUGAUAGAUAUUAAAAUUAAAUACUGUUUACACCAAAAGUUACAAACACAUACAUACCUACUCUCUCUGUCACACACAUCUACAAGCCAAGCCCAUCCUGGUCUACACCAUGAUGAAUGUGUACACAGACUCUCUACUUGAUCAGAUAGAAUUCAAAACCAUGGGAAUUGUUGUAAAAGGUCCAUUCAGUGCCUAUUGAGAAAGGGUUACUUUGUUUCCUACCUGAAUGUUCCCUCUUUCACACACCAUCAUCAAAAAUGGCUUUUUGACAAUACAAUACUAACUCACUUUUUAAAAUAUUUAUUUAAAACUUUUAGAAUAUUUAAACAUUUUUUAAUAAAAUAUCUAACUAUGACUUUUGGUUUAUUUACAGACAUACUUGUCAAAUAAUCCUACCCUUUCUUAUACCAAUGUGUUCUGCUCUCUUAUUACUAAGCUAUCUAAUAUUUAAUGAGUGUCUCUCUGCUUCCCUCAAGCCUGGGUGCCCAGUUAGGAUUCAUUAUGAGUUUUUAGCAUAUAUACUAAAUUUUCUUAUUGAUAAACAAAUGGAACUCCAGUUACAAUGUCAGAUAACCAAAGAAAAUAAUGUGAUUGUUUAAGUUCCCUUAAUAUUACUGAAAUGUCAUUUACAUUAUAAAAUAUAAAUUUUAAAAAGGGUCAGUCUCAUAAAAACACAACCUAAUUCUACUUUUUGGAGUCCACAGUUGAGCCAUGUCACAGCUGGGUAAGUCCUGCUUGUCUAGUCACUUUCCUGUCCCAUGUGCCACCUGCCAGCAUCUUGUCCUCUACAAUCAACUACAGUAAAAAUGGCAAUUCCCAAAAACGUUCCUAAAACCAGGCUUUAAAACUUGGCAGGAGCUGCCCACAUAAACAUAAGGCCAUCUUCACACUUUCUCCUCACACUUCAUGAAUAAACAUUCCUUUAUUCAAAUGAGUUGUAUAUUAACUAACUCCACUAAUUUUGAUUUAACUUUGAAUGGUAAAUUGAGUAAUUCUGCCAAGACUGCAGAGUACGCAAUUCAAAUGACAGAAAUUUUAAUAACGGGGAAAAUAAAAAUUAGCAGCAUGACUCCUAAGGCACUAUAAUUCCAACACUUUUAUGGCAACAGUAGAAAGCACUCAUAAAUACGUCUCCAUUUACAAGCCAAGGGGUGUUAUUUGGAGCCACAUCAUCACACAUACUUACCUGCAAUCUUCCACGAGCAUCUUUUUGGGGGCUCGGCAGGCACCGACUAAAUCUCCAAAGCUCCCCAGCCCCAGACAUUAAGAGGUAAUGUCACUGCUUUUCAAUAAAUAACAAUGAAGUCGUCACUGGAUUAAAUGAUUUCCAUACAUUCUCACCAUAAACAAUAAUUAUUUGGCAGCUGCCCCUUGCAAGCAUUGCAUGCGCUUAUGAAUAAAUCAAGCCUUAUAGAUUUACUAAACCAAAACGUUUUACAUUUUGCUCCACUAAUAAGAGCCAUAAUCCUCCGCGGCACUGGGUGACGCUUUAAUGUCAUAUGUUCCUUAAUACUUUUAAUAUGAAAGAUUAGCCCUGAUUAGCUCACAAGCAGGAACGCUGCUCUGAACGGCCGAUUGGUCACAGAGCCCAGGUCUCUAAAUGCGUCUUUAUUAAUGGAGCUCUGCCUGCUGAUGGGAAUCCCCUAGUGAUGACAUCUCCUGGAGCUGCCGCCAUGCUGUUUCUCCUUCCUUGUACCAUUUCACAGACUAAUGAUGGCUUGCAUUAAUUCACAGCUUACAUUAAUUUAAAAGAGCCAUGCAAGAAAACAUGGGACUGCACAGGGUCCUAAGUGCUCUGUAAAACUAUCAUCUAAGAUAAUAAAACCACUUUCUUUCAAUGCAGUGACUCCAGUUACUAGAAAACUACUUUGGACAAUCCCAAAGUGUCCUCGAAGAUCUGGAGCUCUGCAACCUCCAUCUGACAAGGAAAGGCAUUCUCUCCCUUCCCCCAUGAAACAAGGGCAAAAUUCCCAAACAUUCCCAGGCUGUUAUCCACAACCAACUGACUUGACUCAGCUUCCGCUGAUUACUCAGCUAAGGGCUAAAAACUCUCAGUUCUCUGGUUCCAAUGGGGAACUGGGGUCUACAAUUCUUUAUGGGGGAAAAUUCUACCCAGGCAUACACCGUAACUUGCUGACCUAAUGACAGUGUCUCACAAUCUGUUAAACUGUCAUCACCUCCAACAGUAAUUCACAAACUUGAUGUCUGUGCUUUGGACAGAUUCCUGGGCUAGACGUCCAUGGAUCUUAACUCCAAACUAAACUCCAUUCCUCGUGCAUUAUAUAGGAAAACUAGCACCCAAACCCUCCUUCCUUUCUUCCUUCACAAGGGUCACAAACCUAGACAUUUCAGACUAGAAAGCUCUUUAGAGAUUCUAUACCACAACCCCCUUGAUAUGGUUUGGCAGUGUCCCCUCCCAAAUCUCAUCUUGAUUUGUAGCUCCCAUAAUUCCCCACAUGUUGUGGGAGGGACCCAGUGGGUGGUAACAGAAUCAUGGGGCGGGUUUUUCCCACGCUAUUCUCAGGAUAGUAAGUCUCAAGAGAUCUGAUGGUUUUAUAAAGGGAAAUUCCCCUGCACAGGCUCUCUUGCCUGCCACCAUGUAAGACGUGCCUUUGCUCCUCAUUUCUAAUUUGCCUUCUACCAUGACUGUGAGGCCUCCCCAGCCAUGUGGAACUGUGACUCCAUUAAACCUCCUCUUUUUUUU
rnacentral:lncRNA from 1 species